AGGCUUGCUGUGGGGAGAUUAAAUGGAUAUGGGUAUCGAUACCUGCUGCGGUUAAAAUAAGGUGCUCGCCUGAAAUGGCAUCAGUUGAAACGCCUACCACCAUGUUGGGGGUAAUGUUAUCUUGUAGAUUAGGGUUACCGCUUUUACCUACGCCUACGAUCUUACCGUCUUUAACACCCACGUCAGCUUUAAUGACACCGAGUUUAGCAUCAACAAUCGUCACAUUGGUAAUAACGAGGUCUAACACACCAUUGUCGCUGGUGAGGGUGUUAUCAGCGCCCAUCCCAUCACGU
rnacentral:sRNA from 1 species